UCUCCCUCCUCCUCCUCCUCCUCCUCGUCCCGCAGCCGAAGCGCCGCACGGACUCCAAGGACUUCCGCGCCCUCCUGGGCUCUUCGGGAUCCGGGCUGGGUGACGCGGAAUUCCAGCGGAUCAUGGCCGUGGUGGAUCCCAACGGCAGCGGGAGCGUCACAUUCCAGGCCUUCAUCGACUUCAUGUCCCGGGAAACGACGGACACGGACACGGCAGAGCAGGUCAUCAACAGCUUCCGGGUCCUGGCCGGGGACAAGAACUACAUCACGGCGGCGGAGCUGCGCCGGGAGCUGCCGGCGGCGCAGGCCGAGUACUGCAUCGCCCGCAUGGC